UACGUAGGGUGCAAGCGUUAUCCGGAAUUAUUGGGCGUAAAGAGCUCGUAGGCGGUUUGUCGCGUCUGCUGUGAAAACUGGAGGCUCAACCUCCAGCCUGCAGUGGGUACGGGCAAACUAGAGUGCGGUAGGGGAGAUUGGAAUUCCUGGUGUAGCGGUGGAAUGCGCAGAUAUCAGGAGGAACACCGGUGGCGAAGGCGGGUCUCUGGGCCGAUACUGACGCUGAGGAGCGAAAGCGUGGGGAGCGAUCCGG
rnacentral:rRNA from 1 species